AUAAACUCCAUAACUAGCAAAACCUUCCCAGUUACACAAAGAUAGAGAAAAGGCUGGGUCCCACUGGAAUCUGAGUUCAAAAUGUGUAGAAGAUGACAGAGUGUACAUGAGUUUCUCAGCUUAUAGUCAUGAAGCAAACACAGACCUGGACAGUGGGAUAGUUUAUUUUCGGUGAGGAGAAACUGACAAAAGCUGCUCUACCGCUCUAUUGUUCCAGAGUCUAGAUCCCUCAACAGUCCAACCAGCAUCCUUGCUUGACAGAGAUGGGUGAGCAGUCACUCCUUGGCUGCAUUUCUAGGCUGGAUUGAGGCAGCAGGGAGAUGACUGUGCAGUGGGGAUACAGCCGGUGCUGGUUCUCGGGUACUUCCUGCCCAGCAGUGGGAGGAAGAUGAAAGUUUCCAUACGAGGGAUUACUUCCAUGGCAACUUACAUAUAGACAAGUUCCUAUUAUGGAGAGAUACAAUACCGAUAAAGGAAAAGAAAAGAAGAGAAAAGAAGAGAAAAGAAGAGAAAAGAAGAGAAGAGAAAGGAAGAGAAAGGAAGAGAAAGGAAGAGAAAGGAAGAGAAAAGAAAAGAAAAGAAAAGAAAAAAGAAAAGAAAAGAAAAGAAAAGAAAAGAAAAGAAAAGAAAAGAAAAGAAAAGAAAAGAAAAGAAAAGAAAAGAAAAGAAAAGAAAAGAAAAGAAAAGAAAAGAAAAGAAAAGAAAAGAAAAGAAAAGAAAAGAAAAGAAAAGAAAAGAAAAGAAAAGAAAAGAAAAGAAAAGAAAAGAAAAGAAAAGAAAAGAAAAGAAAAGAAAAGAAAAGACCAUUAUUACAGCUUGUUGUUCUCAUUUGCCUCCUUGUCAAUUACUCUGCGUAUUAUCCUUUCCCCAGCAUAUGUAAACCACCAGCAGGAACCUUUCCAUCCACAUCCAGAGGUGAAAGUAGGCAGCAAAUGCCUUGUAGUAAUUACACCUUUGGACCCUCUGUUCCCUCUGUCCUCCUGGGAAGACUGACCAGCAUAUAUUCAUUUCCUUUUCUGCUGAAAAACUGCUGAACACUAGUCACAACAAAAAAAAAAAAAAAGAAGAUAUGAUUUCUUUAGCAGUCAGAGACCAAGGAGAAAUGGAGCAGGAAACACGACUGCUAUUUUCACGUUUCUGCAUUUAAUCCAUAUAUCAGGAUUAAAAUUUUCUAUUUUCAAGAUUCCUGUUAGGUUUUUGUUCUUGUUUUUGGUUUUUUUUUCCUUAAUAAAGAUCACAGUAUUUUAUGUGAAGCAGACAUUAAUCAUAAGCAAAAUAUUUAUUCAUGAAGAAACACAUAUCUAAUUAAAGAUUUUUUGUCAGCUCCCAGAAUAUGCCAAAGUUCAUAUCUACUGCUUCAACAGACCUCAUCACAUGGCAGGGAACUUAAAAAAGAAAUACUCCUACAUGAAAUUUCACUGUGAAAAAGAAAAGAACAGUGCAGUUUCCUUUAAAAAUCAUUUUCUAUCCUCAGAAUCUGAAACCAUUUCUGCACAUCAUUCAAUCCCAACAUUCAAUCCCAGCAGGAUUUCCAAAUGGCUAUCCAGUCAGAUCUUGAGUUACCUCAUACCCAGGUAUACAGCAGUAUCACGUCUGUGCACACACUGCCAUUCCCAGUUCCCCCAUCAAGCCUCACUGAUCGUUUGUGCUUCUCAGCUGUCUAGGUAUCUGCUCUGCUGACUCCGUAGGCAAGCCAUCUGUAGAGUAAAAUGCCAGCAGAUAUGCUUGGCCUGCUCCUGCAGAACCUCUCUCUUCUCCACUGUGCAUAUUGAACCCCCACAUGGGCUCUUUGUAGCUACCCUCUGCAAAGAUAUUCAUGAAACAUACUGGGAAACCACUGAUCAAUUCUCAUUAUCUGGAAAUAUACUAGUAUUCAACAAAGACUUUAUUCUACUGUUUUCACUUUGUCCUCAUCUAAUAUCUUCCUCUAUAAUCAGUUCACUUUGAAGGGAGAUAUUUUGAAUGUUACCUUUAGACCCUUUCAGGACAGAUACAGUCAUGUUUUACUGUGUGGUAUAGUCCUUCCCAAGGCCUCACAUUCUGUUCAUGGCCUGUACAUGUUGACAAGGAAUUGUUCUAUGGAGAGUUUUCAUGUAGGCAACUCACCUACAUAACAAAGCUCAUCAUAUGUCAGGUUACAAAAUGAAAAUCUUUUCUAAAUUAUUGUGAAAGAUAUUAAUUUAGAGGUGUUUAAAAAUGUGUUUUGCCUGACACCAAAAUUGUUUUCCGUGUUGUGUUCAAAAAUAUCUAAUUCCUUAUGAUCUGGAAGUUCUAACCAGAAAAAAAGAUUUCCUCAUAAGACUUGUAAUUUUUAAUAAAUGUUUCCAAUUUCUCAUGCAAACACAUGGAGUAAAUAACAAUUAAUAUGAAUUUAGACAAAAACAUGGGGGAAAAACUGAAGGAUAUUAUUCACGUAAUUGAAUCACUUUUUCCAUAAUGUUCUCUAAUGUUUUUCAAAAAGGAAUGUCCUUCUUUUUCCUUUCUUUUCUUUUUCUGUGAUUCCUGGUGGUAGAAAGCUAAAAGGAGUAUGAUACUGAAAAUCUCAUUCCUGCAUAUUUACCAUUUUAUGACUGAAAAUGUUAACAACACUUGGUAUGCAUGAACCUGAGAACCUACUUCAUGAAUUUUUUCAUUUUUUUCUAUAUGUCAGGCACUCCACCCAGUUGUAACUCUAUGUUGAAAAUGAUGACCAAGAUCUAAAUUUUGGGGAACAUGCUCUCUGUUCAAACCUGAUGUAAGAAAUUCAAAGAAUUUCAAAACCAUAUUUCAGAAGAAUUUAUGUUUCUACAAGCAGUGGUAAUAAUAGUGAAUAGUUAUUAAUUAUAACAAUAAUUCUGAAUGCAUUGUAAAUAGUGUGUGGUUGGCCUUCACAACAGCUCUGUAAUGAUGUGUACAUGGCAGUGAUAGAAAGAACUAUGGUGAGGAGCGUUAUAUAUAAACACUGUAGGAAAUACUAUAUUAUAUUAUAUUAUAUUAUAUUAUAUUAUAUUAUAUUAUAUUAUAUUAUAUUAUAUUAUAUUGUAUUGUAUUGUAUUGUAUCAUAUUAUUAUAUUUAUAUACUGCAAGAGAAUAAAUGUACAGAAAGACAAUUUCAUCUAACCAUAGCCUCAGUGCCACCUGAGAUGUCUGAAUCCAACAUCUGCUUCACACACAACCCCUUUGCCAGUGGGCCACUAGUCAAUAAAGUCCCCUGUAUGCCUACAUCUCUGCUGCAAUAACCUACUUCAGUUUCUGCAGCACUAAGCAGCUAAGCACCAGGUAUCACAUAAAAGCUCCUCAAACCACAUGUCCUCCUCUAAUCUUGACUCUGUUGUCUGACCCAUGCCAACAACUGGGCCUCAUCCUAACAAAGGCAUGGAGUCAUAAAAUAUAUGGGUCAUAAAGGGAGGAUCCUCCAGGGAGAUCUGUUGCUAUCUGCAGAAACCCCUGGAGUGGUAAGUCUGGGCUGGUGUGUCAUUCAUGUACCCUCAAGGACAGUACAAUGUGCUUCAAGAAGGCCAGAAAUAACAUCCAUAUGAAUAUUCCCAGAGGUUAGUGUCUCCAAAAGUUAACACUCAAAGGUAAAGCCUUCUUCCCUAGAGGAGAAAAGAUGCUCAUACACAGACACUGAAUCUUUCUACUCUAAUUUAUUUUCAUUAUAAACCUCAUCUGAAGACUGAUUUUUUUCAAAGAAACAUCAGAAAAUGUCAUCUUGAAAAUCUGAUUUUUCAAGAUGACAAAGCUGUCUUCUGGUAGGAAUUGUUUUCUGUGUUUUAAAACCAUAUCUAUGAGUAGGAAUUUGCAUCAUGAAAAUAAAAAUCUGUUUUGCCAAUUGUAAUAAUGCCU
ensembl:lncRNA